rnacentral:rRNA from 1 species
UGGGGGAUAUUGCACAAUGGAGGAAACUCUGAUGCAGCAACGCCGCGUGAGGGAAGAAGGUUUUCGGAUUGUAAACCUCUGUUUUUAGUGAAGAAACAAAUGACGGUAGCUAAAGAGGAAGCCACGGCUAACUACGUGCCAGCAGCCGCGGUAAUACGUAGGUGGCAAGCGUUGUCCGGAAUUACUGGGUGUAAAGGGUGCGCAGGCGGGACUGCAAGUUGGAUGUGAAAUACCGGAGCUUAACUCCGGAGCUGCAUCCAAAACUGUGGUUCUUGAGUGGAGUAGAGGUAAGCGGAAUUCCGAGUGUAGCGGUGAAAUGCGUAGAUAUUCGGAGGAACACCAGUGGCGAAGGCGGCUUACUGGGCUCUAACUGACGCUGAGGCACGAAAGCAUGGGUAGCAAACAGGAUUAGAUACCCUGGUA